AUGGCGAGUGGUGGUAGUGCGAUGCAGCGGUGCACCGUCGCUGCGAGGUGGUUGAUUAGAGGUGCGUCAACGGAGACGCCGUCUGGCUGUUCCGGCGUAGCAGCUCCGAUAGUGUGUGGUCGCGGUGACAAAAAGACAAAGAAAGGGAAGCGAUUCAAGGGCUCGUAUGGGAAAUCUCGUCCAAAGAGAGAACAGAUGAUUGAGCGAAUGAAAGAUAAGGUUGAAGUUCCCAGGUCUACUCCUUGGCCUCUUCCUUUCAAGCUCAUUUGA